UUGAAAAAUAAUAUAUAAUCUCAUUGGUGAAGAAAUAAAAGUAAAAUUUAAAUUUAUAAACAACACCAAAUUUAUAAACAUCACCAUCUAUAUCUAUAACCUCUAUAGUUCCGUUCGUGCAUGCUGUUUUUUUUCUUCUUCCAGACCAAUAUUAUCGGACGACGUUUUCACAGAAGAUUGAAGAGUAAUGUUUUCUUCACUACAUGAUACAGAUUUCCCAAACAAGAAAAAUUCCUUGUCAACAUCUUCCAUUUGCAAUGCCUAAAAAAUUAUGCGUCAUUAGGUUUUACAAAAAAAAUUGGGGGAAGAAAUGAUGAUGUAAAGGAAGAGAUAUCUAACAAGAUAACAAGAAGAAAGAUCGACUGCAAAGCACCACUGGAACAAGGUAGCAAUAUAAAAAUUACCUUCGUAUUCUUCCGUCAACUUCGGCAAUGAAAAAAACUGUUCCGACCGGCCACUGCCGAUAUGUAGUAGAAGAUUAGAAACACCAACAAUAAAUGUAGAUUAAAAUCCGAUGUGACAAGUCCUAUUAUAUAUAUUUUUUCAGUCCAAUAACUCUUUACGAAAAUUACGAAAUCAGACCAACAAUUAACUUAUAUGUAAGAUAAUUACAAUUUGAAUAAAGGGGAGGAACAAGGCAAACACUAAAGGAAGUUCAAUAUGACAGGAGAGAUUGCAGUAUAGUGAUAGAUAAGUCCACUGGAAUAAGGUUGAAGAAGUUCAAAUCGAGUGAAAAUAAAAGCGGUAGAAUUAGAUUAGUAAAAGAGGGAAAACGAGUGAAAAUAAAAUCGUAUUGGAUGAAGGUGGAACUCGAUCAGUGUUUGACAACGUUUUGAACAAACGUCGGGUCGGGAACUCUAUGCAGAAAUAUACUUGAACUCUAUAAAUGCUUUACCACAUUCUCUCGGUGAUUUAUUUUAAGGGUAAUCUAGUCAUUAAGACAGUAACCGUCUAACUGCCUUGCAAACCCAAAUCUGACACCAGUUCGACUUCCUGAGAUCGACUUUUCAGAUCGACUUUUUUAAGUCGACCUUCUCUAAAAUCACAUGCAUCCAUCCAUUGGUAACCCUAACCCUAACUUUCUCUAAAAUCACAACCAUCCAUCCAUUGGUAACCCCAUUGAAAAAGAGAUAUAUACUUACCAGUAAACCAUGUUAUUACUCCUUUAUCAAGGAUAUUGUUCCAAUCACUAAACACAUCUAAUGCUUUUGUUUUAUCUAAACCUGUAAAUGGUAUAUCGGAUCCGGAUUCGGAUAUCAAAAAUGAUAUCCGAAAAUUAUCCGUACGGAUUCGGAUAUCUGCAAAAUCCG
rnacentral:lncRNA from 1 species